CGGUACAAGAUGAGUAUGCGUCCCAUUAGUUUGUUGGUAAGGUAACGGCUUACCAAGAUACGAUAGGUAGGGGCCCUGAGAGGGGGAUCCCCCACACUGUACUGAGACACGGACCAGACUCCUACGGGAGGCAGCAGUGAGGAAUAUUGGACAAUGGGCGAGAGCCUGAUCCAGCCAUGCCGCGUGCAGGAAGACGGCCCUAUGGGUUGUAAACUGCUUUUAUACAGGAAGAAACACUCCCUCGUGAGGGAGCUUGACGGUACUGUAAGAAUAAGGACCGGCUAACUCCGUGCCAGCAGCCGCGGUAAUACGGAGGGUCCGAGCGUUAUCCGGAAUCAUUGGGUUUAAAGGGUCCGUAGGCGGGCAGCUCAGUCAGUGGUGAAAGUUUGCAGCUCAACUGUAAAAUUGCCAUUGAUACUGGUUGUCUUGAAUUAAUGUGAAGUGGUUAGAAUAAGUAGUGUAGCGGUGAAAUGCAUAGAUAUUACUUAGAAUACCAAUUGCGAAGGCAGAUCACUAACAUUAUAUUGACGCUGAUGGACGAAAGCGUGGGGAGCGAACAGGAUUAGAUACCCUGGUAGUCCACGCCGUAAACGAUGGAUACUAGCUGUUCGGUCUUCGGACUGAGUGGCUAAGCGAAAGUGAUAAGUAUCCCACCUGGGGGAGUACGUUCGCAAGAAUGAAACUCAAAGGAAUUGACGGGGGGCCCCGCACAAGCGGUGGAGCAUGUGGUUUUAAUUUCGAUGAUACGCGAGGAACCUUACCAGGGCUUAAAUGUAGAUUGA
rnacentral:rRNA from 1 species